rfam:Firmicutes bacterium CAG:882 genomic scaffold, scf558
UUUGGGAGAAGCUUAGUUAUUCUUAUGACUCUGUUUAAGAUACAGUCACAGGCGGCAUGGAUGCCGGCUGAGUUGCAAACAGCCAAGGAUGGCUGUUUUUGCAACGAUGGCGGAAGUAUAAGAAGAUUUUGCAAAGUCAUUAGAAUAACUUGCUUCGUACAAC